rnacentral:rRNA from 1 species
AGUGAACGCUGGCGGUAGGCCUAACACAUGCAAGUCGAACGGCAGCACAGUAAGAGCUUGCUCUUACGGGUGGCGAGUGGCGGAUGGGUGAGGAAUACAUCGGAAUCUACUUUUUCGUGGGGGAUAACGUAGGGAAACUUACGCUAAUACCGCAUACGACCUACGGGUGAAAGCAGUGGAUCUUCGGACCUUGCGCGAUUGAAUGAGCCGAUGUCGGAUUAGCUAGUUGGCGUGGUAAAGGCCCACCAAGGCGACGAUCCGUAGCUGGUCUGAGAGGAUGAUCAGCCACACUGGAACUGAGACACGGUCCAGACUCCUACGGGAGGCAGCAGUGGGGAAUAUUGGACAAUGGGCGCAAGCCUGAUCCAGCCAUACCGCGUGGGUGAAGAAGGCCUUCGGGUUGUAAAGCCCUUUUGUUGGGAAAGAAAAGCAGCAGGUUAAUACCCCGCUGUUCUGACGGUACCCAAAGAAUAAGCACCGGCUAACUUCGUG